CCUACUGGUGGCAGCAGUGAGGAAUAUUGGUCAAUGGGCGCGAGUCUGAACCAGCCAUGUAGCGUGAAGGAUGACGGCUCUAUGGGUUGUAAACUUCUUUUAUAAGGGGGUAAAGCGAGGUACGUGUGUCUUGUUGUAAGUAUCGUACGAAUAAGAAUCGGCUAACUCCGUGCCAGCAGCCGCGGUAAUACGGAGGAUUCGAGCGUUAUCCGGAUUUAUUGGGUGUAAAGGGAGCGUAGACGGGUCGUUAAGUUAGAUGUGAAAGCUUGCGGCUCAACCCCGACACUGCCUCUGAUACUGGCAGCCUUGAGUUUAGUUGAGGUAGGCGGAAUGCAUGGUGUAGCGGUGAAAUGCAUAGAUAUCACACAGAACUCCGAUUGCGAAGGCAGCUUACCAAACUACCACUGACGUUGAUGCACGAAAGUGUGGGGAUCAAACAGGAUUAGAUACCCCGGUAGUC
rnacentral:rRNA from 1 species